GUACCCUCCAGCCCUGCUGGGUGUUGGGCGUUUUGUUCCGCCGCGCGCGUGAACUCGCCUCAAAUACAUUGGCAGCCAGCCGUCCCGCGUGGGAGCGCAGCACAUUUUGCGCUCUCCGCUGGGUGCGGCGGCGUCCACAAGCCUAAUUUUUUAC
rnacentral:misc_RNA from 1 species